rnacentral:rRNA from 1 species
GAUCAGCCAUGCCGCGUGCAGGAGACUGCCCUAUGGGUUGUAAACUGCUUUUAUACAGGAAGAAACCUUCCUACGUGUAGGAGCUUGACGGUACUGUACGAAUAAGGAUCGGCUAACUCCGUGCCAGCAGCCGCGGUAAUACGGAGGAUCCGAGCGUUAUCCGGAAUCAUUGGGUUUAAAGGGUCCGCAGGCGGAUUGUUAAGUCAGAGGUGAAAUCCCGCAGCUCAACUGUAGAACUGCCUUUGAUACUGGUUGACUUGAAUUCUGUUGAAGUAGGUGGAAUGUGUAGUGUAGCGGUGAAAUGCAUAGAUAUUACACAGAACACCGAUUGCGAAGGCAGAUUACUAAGCAUGUACUGACGCUGAUGGACGAAAGCGUGGGGAGCGAACAGGAUUAGAUACCCUGGUAGUCCACGCCGUAAACGAUGGAUACUAGCUGUUGGCGAUAUACUGUCUGACUCAGCGCAAAAGCGAAAUGUACUCCCCCUGGAGAGGGCGAGCGCGAUGGUGACACU